CGGUUGCUAUCGUAUGACUAGGAUCUCUUCAAAAAUGCAUUUCCCUAAAGCAAUUUUAUAGCAAACAGAUCAAUUCUUCCGGGAGAGCUCAGAUUCCUUGAAAACAAAUACUAUUUAUUUUUAUGUGGUCAGAUGUAAUUAGCUCGUCCUACUCAGUGGUAGGAGCGUCAGUUUACCCAGAAAUCUUUUCACUCACAAAACAAGGGAGAAACAAUCAGUCAUGUAUAUUAAAAUCAAUCAAUUACUUGUCUCAUUAAGAAAGCAUGAGAAAGAAAAACAGAGGCACUGUGAGCGUGUGCAGUCAUAUUGCAGAGCAGAAGUGAAAAGGAUUUUUCAGUAUUCCCUAAUGAUGUGGCUGCAAUACACCGUAAGUUGUUUUUGCUCCCUUUCCCUUGAAUUCGGACGAGAUUGGAAUGAAAUGUGAUAAAGGGAAACACGGGAGCAGCAGAAAAUAUUUCUAAGACUGUAGAUCAUUCUACAGCGAAACAACGCGCCGUUGGGGAAGGAAAUGCACCUAAUUGAUUUCAGCCAAUUGAACCAUACCUUUCAAAUGUUUCCCAAAGAAGAAAGGUCAUCGUCUUCCGUUGAAUAAGGAUGAGAUAUAUAAAUGCCAUCUGGUUUAACAUGCAUGGAACAUUUUUCUUUCGUUUUAUUAUGCGGGAACAAAGGACACGCGAUGGAGAUUUGAAUGCUACGAUAUUUGCAUAAUUAUUCAUAUAGUAAAACCUAUACGCUUAUAUUAAAAGUAUAUCGAGGUUUCCUUCCUGGAGAACGCCUGUCUUUGUAAGCCUUUGUGAAAUAAAAACAAAACUCGAGCUCGCUUUGUCCAAAACUGGUUUAUGAAGAUUAUUUAUGAAACUCGACACAACACAAUCAUUCGAUAUAUCUCCUUUAGUUUCGGGAACACCAAGCAAUAACCGCAAUACAUGGAAGGAAUUCCCGCGAGAAUGUUUAUGAAGAUUUAAUAAGUCACUUAUUAUGUAAAUGCAUUUUUAAGAGUCUAAACUAGAGACGCUGCUCUUUGGGGUCCACACGAGGUGAAUUGUUAUUACUGCGAGAGUGAACCGAACGGCUUUUUUACUUAUCACGGAAUUGUCAUUCAAGAUCAGUUGUAACUAUGCCUCGCAACGAAUAUGAUAUUCAAUGUUAAAUAAUAUUUUGCGGCCUUCGGAUCCCCUAUUGCUGUAUUCAUUGGAUAACUGGAACUUUUUGUAAACUCUGGAUAGGAGAUUAUUUGUGCAACUCGCUGGCGUCACUUGCAACCCGUAACAUGGUUUGGAAUGUAAAUUUCGGGAAUAGUAUCCUGUUAUAUACGGUUCCACUUAAUGAUCACUCCAAAGUGUGCAAAGACACGAGAAGUUCGCUAUCAAUAAUGCUUCGUUAGUUUGUGUCAAUAUGUGGUCGGUUAAUUUAACUAUCAUAGUGAGGUUUAUAGUAAUGAUUUAAGUCUUAAGGUGGAAAUCAUUGAAGUGUAUAAAGCAACCUAUCAGAAAACGGGUCUACCGCAAAUCGUUCACAGAACAUUAUUGUCUGAUCAAUAAUAACUUGUCAAUUGCUUCAUUCCAGACACCAUAAAAGGCCAAUGGGAACGGCACUGCGUCCUUAUAAGCAGAAAGUAGUUUACAGAGGCACCAGGAAAUGUAACAGUGGAAUAUUGAGCAAAUUUAUGGAGUGGAUAACUCAGGCCUCAAAAAGGGUGAAAGGUUUCGUUAAACAUCCUUUAUAGAUUAUGGAAUUAAGAAAAUGACUAUGUGAUUCAGAACACAUGAUGAUUGCACAGUAUUUAAUUUUGGGCUCUGAAUUAACAAUGGGAAAUAUGGCAUAAUUCCAAGUUGGAAAAAAAAGUAUAUGAUUCUUUAUCCUAAACACUUCCAGCAUUUUAAGUUGUAUACAUCAUGUUCGACAGUAUGCAGUUUCUUUUCCAACCUAUAGUUUUAAAAACAUAUGUUCCAUAAGUUUCUGGACCUUUUCAAAUAGACCUUUGGUGCGUCUUUCACGUUUCAUCCUCAACUGAACGUUUAAAGAAGAUUUGAAAAUAGUUGAAAGAUUAGUGGAUCCUGAAUGAAAACAUAAUCUUAAUUGCGAAAAUAACUAUUGACGGGAACACGGAGGAAGGAAGAUGGGACAAGCAUCAGAGAUAUAGAUGAUCCACCGGGAAAAUAUAAAGUACCUCCUCCCCCUACAGAUGCUCCCUGGUCUAUUGUGUUCUCACACCAGCGUUUGUUUCAGCUUCUCUAGAUUCGUCGUAAUUACAUGUUUCUCUACAUUGAUUCUUUUUCAACAAAAUCUCCCAAAAUAAAACCCCGGAAUUAAAUAUAUGAUUUCAUUUUGCAAUAAAAGGCACAAUUGGGUGAAUUAAAUUGCAACCACGCUUUCCCUCUGUAUCUUCCACUUUGAAAUAAGUGUCAUAAUCUUAGGAACAAGGUACAACUAUUCACCAUAGCAGGUUGCUUCAGUAAUGCAUGUAAACGUGUUAAUUGAUGGAUUGACAUGGAUUGUACAUAUCAUUUAAAAAAUACGUAGUAAAAAAUUUGGUACUUUAAAAUAAUUUGUAGUUAGUACAUUUCAAAGAAUGCUUUUUGAUCUUCACGUAGCUUAGAUGUUUUUUUUUCAUUAAAGAUUUAACCAAGUGGAUUGGUGUGAUCUA